rnacentral:rRNA from 1 species
AGGGCACCACCAGGAGUGGAGCCUGCGGCUUAAUUUGACUCAACACGGGGAAACUUACCCGGCCUGGACACUGGAAGGAUUGACAGAUUGAGAGCUCUUUCUUGAUUCAGUGGGUGGUGGUGCAUGGCCGUUCUUAGUUGGUGGAGCGAUUUGUCUGGUUAAUUCCGAUAACGAACGGGACUCUAGCCUAUUAAAUAGGCUCCCGGCUUUUAAACGCCGGGAGGACUUCUUAGAGGGACAGGUGGCGGUUCAGCCGCACGAAAGAGAGCAAUAACAGGUCUGUGAUGCCCUUUGUUGUCCGGGGCCGCACGCGCGCUACACUGAAGAGAUCAGCGUGCUUUAUGUUCCUGCUCCGACCGGAGUGGGGAACCCAGUGAACCUUCUUCGUGAUUGGGAUAGAAGAUUCCCCUUAUUCUUCUCUAACCAGGAAUUCCCAGUCAAUGCGAGUCAUAAUCUCGUGUUGAUUACGUCCCUCCCCUUCCUACACACCUACCCGUUGCUACUAUCAAUUGAACUUCU